rnacentral:snRNA from 1 species
AUCACUUCUCGGCCUUUUGGCUAAGAUCAAGUGUAAUAAUUGUUUAUUGAUAGGAAUCUGAAUUCUUAUAUUUCAGAGUUAAUGUCCAAAAACCAAGGACCUUACUUAAAGGAUCUUACAUAACAAACCAGCCCAUUGUUGAAACUCAA